CCUGGACAUGUUUAUUUUUCAAAUUGACAAAGAGUAAAAGAUCUUUUCUGACAUUUUGCCUUGGGGGACUGGAUUAAAGGUUUACAGAACUUUCAGAAGGCAGCAAUGGAUUAAUUUGGAUGAGGGGCCCAGGGGCCUCUUGAAAGGGAAGAGACUGAGUAAUCUACAGGAGCUAGAGAGAAGAUAUCGUCUAGACCGAUUGGCCCGACUCUACCCUUUUUUCGUGGAGUGCAGUGGUGUAAUGUGUAGCGUACCUGGACUGUCUGGACUGGUCUACACUGGAGACUUGAUCUUGUGUCUUGUACUCAGAUAAGAUAUGCAGGGGACAAUUUAUCAGUUCUCAUCUCUGAGCUGCUGACACACUCACUCAGAACAGAACAUCUUUUUCAAGUCUUUAUAAACCAAAUGUUUCAAGGAAAGAAUAUCAG